UACGGAGGGUGCAAGCGUUAUCCGGAUUUACUGGGUUUAAAGGGUGCGUAGGCGGUUAUAUAAGUCAGCGGUGAAAUCAGUGGGCUCAACCUACUAAUUGCCGUUGAAACUGUGUAGCUUGAAUUUGAUGGAGGUAGGCGGAAUGUUGCAUGUAGCGGUGAAAUGCUUAGAUAUGCUACGGAACACCGAUUGCGAAGGCAGCUUACUACGUCAAUAUUGACGCUGAUGCACGAAAGCGUGGGUAGCGAACAGG
rnacentral:rRNA from 1 species